rnacentral:rRNA from 1 species
AAGCAUCUUCGGAUGUGUAUAAAGUGGCGAACGGCUGAGUAACACGUGGGCAACCUGCCCUUUGCACUGGGAUAGCCUCGGGAAACCGAGGUUAAUACCGGAUACUCCAUAUUUGUCGCAUGGCGAAUAUGGGAAAGCCCCGGCGGCAAAGGAUGGGCCCGCGGCCUGUUAGCUAGUUGGUGGGGUAGUGGCCUACCAAGGCAAUGAUGGGUAGCCGGGUUGAGAGACCGACCGGCCAGAUUGGGACUGAGACACGGCCCAGACUCCUACGGGAGGCAGCAGUGGGGAAUCUUGCACAAUGGGCGAAAGCCUGAUGCAGCGACGCCGCGUGCGGGAUGAAGGCCUUCGGGUUGUAAACCGCUUUCAGCAGGGACGAGGCCGCAAGGUGACGGUACC